UGCCAUCAGCUCUCCAUCACUGUCCUUAUCCUCAAUCAUUCUUCUAUCAACUCCAAAGUUCAUAGCUACAUCGAAUCUCAGCGAGCGUCCUCCUCUAUUGUACCUACUCGUCUCCGAUUCAUUAAUCUGCCCAAAGAUGAGACUGAAUUAUUUAGUUUCUCUUCUUUCGUUAAGAGUCAGAAAUCCCAUGUCAAAGAAGCUGUGUUGAAGAUCACUCAAUCUGAGUCUAGCGUCGACUCGCCUCGACUUGCAGGUCUUGUUCUCGAUAUGCUCUGCACGCCGAUGAUAGAUGUGGCUAAUGAUUUUGGUGUUCCGUCUUACAUAUUCUUUCCAUCAGGAGCAGCUUUUCUUGGUUUCAUGCUUUAUGUGCAGAAGAUUCAUGAUGAAGAGAAAUUUGACCCCAUUGAGUUCAAGAACUCGGAUGCUGAGUUACCAGUACCGAGCUUAGUAAACCCAUUUCCUGCAAGGGUUAUGCCUUAUGCGAUGUUAAGAAGAGAGUUGCUUUCUCCUACAUUAGAGAAUGCAAGAAGGUAUAGAGAAGUUAAGGGUAUCAUCGUAAAUACAUUUUUGGAGUUCGAAUCCUAUGCGAUUCAGUCUUUAAAAAUGCCUCCUGUGUAUCCUGUGGGACCCAUUUUGGAUAUUGGGUCGGUCGGAAGCAACGCACCCCAGGAAAUAAUGCAAUGGCUUGACAACCAACCUCUUUCAUCAGUAGUGUUCUUGUGUUUUGGAAGCAUGGGAAGUUUUAGCGAGGAUCAAGUAAAAGAGAUUGCAUGUGCGCUAGAACACAGUGGGUAUCGAUUCUUGUGGGCCCUCCGCCGACCACCACCUCCGGGAAAACUAGCAUCUCCGAGUGACUAUGAGGAUCCACAAGAGGUUUUGCCUGAAGGAUUCUUGGAUCGAACAGCUGGAAUUGGAAAGGUGAUUGGGUGGGCUCCACAAGUUGCCAUCUUGGCCCAUCAAGCUGUGGGAGGUUUUGUAUCGCAUUGCGGGUGGAAUUCUGUGCUGGAGAGCAUAUGGUUUGGGGUUCCAAUCGCCGCGUGGCCAAUAUAUUCAGAGCAACAACUUAAUGCAUUCGAGAUGGUGUUUGAGUUAGGAUUAGCUGUGGAGAUUAAAAUAGAUUAUAGUAAGGACAGUGAAAUAAUUGUGAAGUGUGAUGAAAUAGAGAGAGGGAUAAGGUGUUUGAUGGAGUACGAUACUGAAAAAAGGAAGAAAGUUAAGGAAAUGAGUGAAAAAAGUAGAAAGGCCUUAAUGGAGGGUGGAUCUUCACACUUUUGGUUAGGUCAUUUCAUAAGAAAUGUUAUGGACAAUUAAGGGUUAGCAUUUGAUUCAAACCGAAUUAAAUUGAAUCGAAUUGAAUUAAAUCAUGAAAAUUGAAUUAUAAAUUUUAAAAAUCGAAUCGAAUCGAAUUAUUUUAUUUCGGUUUGGUUCAGUUCAAAGUGAUUGAUUUUAAUUUUUUAUUAUUU
rnacentral:misc_RNA from 1 species